rnacentral:rRNA from 1 species
GACGAACGCUGGCGGCGUGCUUAACACAUGCAAGUCGAACGGAAAGGCCCUGCUUUUGUGGGGUGCUCGAGUUGCGAACGGGUGAGUAACACGUGAGUAACCUGCCCUUGACUUUGGGAUAACUUCUGGAAACUGGGGCUAAUACCGGAUAAGAGCACCUGCUGCAUGGUGGGGGUUGGAAAGUUUCGGCGGUUGGGGUUGGACUCGCGGCUUAUCUGCUUGUUGGUGGGGUAGUGGCUUACCAAGGCUUUGACGGGUAGCCGGCCUGAGAGGGUGACGGGCCACAGUGGGCCUGAGAUAGGAGCAAGACUGCAACUGGAGGCAGCGGUGGGAGAUAUUGCGCGAUGGGCGGAAGCCGGAUGGAGCGACGCCGGGUGCGGGAGGACUGUCGUCGGGGUGGAAACCGCGUGCGCCUGUGACGAUGAGUGAGUGACGGUAUUGGAUAAAGAAGCACCGGCUAACUACGUG